UGAACCCGCACAACGCGGCGCGCGCCGACGUCGGCGUCGGCCCGGUGUCGUGGGACGACACGGUGGCCGCGUACGCGCAGAGCUACGCGGCGCAGCGGCAGGGCGACUGCAAGCUGAUCCACUCCGGCGGUCCCUACGGCGAGAACAUCUUCUGGGGCUCCGCCGGCGCCGACUGGUCGGCGUCCGACGCCGUGGCGUCGUGGGUUUCCGAGAAGCAGUACUACAACCACGACACCAACAGCUGCGCGGACGGCAAGGUGUGCGGGCACUACACGCAGGUGGUGUGGCGUGACUCCACGGCCAUCGGCUGCGCCCGCGUCGUCUGCGACAACAACGCCGGCGUCUUCAUCAUCUGCAGCUACAACCCGCCGGGCAACUACGUCGGCCAGAGCCCAUACUAGACGUAGUAGUGUGCCGUAUGCAUGAAUUGAAUACAUGCAAGUAUACGUA
rnacentral:lncRNA from 1 species